AUUCCAAUGCAACCCGAAAACAUUAUGGCAUAAUUUAGUGGAGGACAACCAAAUUAUUGGAGUUUAGAGAGUAACAAAAAAAUUCAUGUCAAGAGACGAGCAGUCGAGCACACAAGAUGGAUGUAGAUAGAUAUAGAUGGAUGGUUACAACACCAGGGACAUCAAGCAGGCCACACACAUUCACCACAGAUCAGAGCAUGGCCUGCCUGCCACAGAUCAGAGUACCAAACGACACACUGCUAGAGCACCCCACAGGUGCCCGGCCGGGGAGGGAAGGACACGACGGCGACAUCUCAGUACCAUCAUUAUUGUUCUCCUUCAGUACCAGCUACUAGCAGCACGCGCAACACUGUUAUUAAGCGUGCAUGCCACACAUACUUUCAGACAAACGAACGACGAAUACACAAACACUGCUAUACUAGCUUCGUCCUUCCGAGAUCUCGUCCGGUCCGGCCAUGGCCAUGAGCUCCUCACUUGCCGCAGGUGCAGGGGUUGCAGGUGCAGUUGUCGCCGCACUUGCAGCCAUUCUCGGCUCCGGCGCCGGCCUCGAACCCGCCCUCGGCGUGCCUGCGCGUAAGAGAAACAUCAUCAAUUUUUUUUUUCAGUUCAGAAGUCGAGUUGCAGAGCAAUUUUGGCCUGUUCGCUACCAGGAGCUACGUAUGCCGUCUCGGACUUUUCAAUACAGGACAAGUAAACAUGACAUCAUUUUUUGUUGGAUUUUUUUUUGGGGGGCCUUGGCGCGGGGAAAAGAAGCAGCUGCUUGUUUUGUUUCAUGAGGGACACAAACUGCUUUUGUCGUAGCGUAGUGCUUCCUUCUCGCUGCUGAUGGUGACUGGAAUUUGUUGUACCACUAUGCAGACAGUACUAAAACCAUAUAAGCUACCAGAAGUUAGUACUACUUCCUACACAACCGAUCACCUACCACAAACGCACAAGGCAGAACCGUAAAAAUAGUACGGCUAACAAUUCUGCACCAUAGAAACUGCUGGCUAUUAUUGGCAAACGUAAGAGGAUGGUGGAUCAGAUCACCACCUCGUCAAAACGAUCUAUGCGCCGGAAGCUGAACAGUACAUGGUACAGAUGGGAGGGAGGGACAUACCCCUUGUUGGUCGGUGCAACGCCCAUGAUGACAGUCUGGGUGGUGGUGGUGCCCUGCUCAGCCGUGUCCGGGUACAUCUUGCACCUGCAGAUGAUACAAGCGGCAUGUCAGGAUCAUCAGAAUCUCUCCGAUUUGAGGAGCACAAACUGCUGCAUGCAUAUAAUUUCAGACAGGAAUUUACAUGAAGGAACAUGAGAAAAACCUCUUGUUUUUUUCUUAAAAAAAAGGGGGAGGCAAAAUCUCCCAGCUCUAUCCUCUCUAAUCAAAGAUCCACCCACACAGAAGGUUCUCCCCCAAAAGAAAAACAUUUCCAUGCAAGCUAUCUGCUGCGUCUGCAUGC
rnacentral:lncRNA from 1 species